rnacentral:tRNA from 1 species
UGGGAUGUAGCCAAGUGGUAAGGCAGCGGAUUUUGAUUCCGCCAUUCGGAGGUUCGAACCCUCCCAUCCCAG